AUUCCCACACAAAAACAGGGGAGGCUCUGCUUCCACAAAGAAAGAAAAAAAAGAGAGUGAACAGGGGAGAUAUUCAUGUCAAUGGCUAGUACAUUCAUGUCAAUGGCUAGCUAACUCCAUUGGUCAAGGGAGAUGGAAGAACCCUUGACUUUUUGCUCUCAUGAAGUAAACUCUGAACUUUGGUUUUAAUUGAUUUACAUACUCUCAUAUGUUCUUAUUCUCUCAUAUGUAUUUAUUAGAUAGAUUUGUUAUGGUUUAUAUUUAUUGAUG
rnacentral:lncRNA from 1 species